UACGGAGGGUGCAAGCGUUAUCCGGAUUCACUGGGUUUAAAGGGUGCGUAGGCGGGCAGGUAAGUCCGUGGUGAAAUCUCUGAGCUUAACUCAGAAACUGCCAUGGAUACUAUUUGUCUUGAAUAUUGUGGAGGUAAGCGGAAUAUGGUCAUGUAGCGGUGAAAUGCUUAGAUAUGACAUAGAACACCAAUUGCGAAGGCAGCUUACUACACAGUUAUUGACGCUGAGGCACGAAAGCGUGGGGAGCAAACAGG
rnacentral:rRNA from 1 species